rnacentral:lncRNA from 1 species
CUGAUGAUGGGGAUUUGUAGGACUUUAAAAAGCACUCAUGUUUCCAUCCUCACUGUUGACUCCUGGCUUAAAGGGAUCUCCCGGGGUGAGUGAGGAGGCGGGAUUGGACCCUGGCAGUCUGACGGCAGCACCUGUGUUCCUCUGCACUGGGCCGUGGAUGACAUUACACACCUUGCCACUCCCACGGUCCUGUGUGUUCCGGAUAUUUUAAAAUAAUGGCUAUAAGGUUGAGCACUUCAGGAUACGCUGUUUUGCUGUGUGCAGAUGGAGGCAGUGGCUGGAGUGAAUGAACGGCAACACUUGCUGGCAACCGGCAGAAGCUGAGAGACAGGGAACAGGCUCUCCUCCAGAGCCUCCAGGAGCCAGGCCUUUGGACACCUUGAAUGUGGGCUUCUGGGAGACCAUGCGUUUCUGUUAUAAGCAGCCCAGUCUCUGGCAGUUUUUACGGCUGCCCCGGAACACUCAUCUAUACCUGUCUGACAAGGUCAAGCUCCAAGGAAGGGACUCUCUACAUAUCUACAUUGUUUGCAGAUUUUACAAUAAUCAUUUAUUCUUGCAUGGCUGAUCAUUGUUAACCAAUACAAAUAAAAUAAUAAAGAAAUGACCCACAUUUUAUGUUGGGAGUUUGAUCUGCCAUUUAUCAAGUAUGGAAUCUUGAACAAGGGGUUAAACAUCUGAAUGUCUCCAUCACUUCAUCUCUAAAGUGGGGGUGCUCACACCCACUGGGCUCCCCCGCCCAGGUUGGUGCCGGACUCUCCCUGGGCCCCCCUGUUCUCUCACCAGCCACAUCCAUUCUCCCCCCAGAGGCGCUAGUGACUGUGCGUGGCUUUCCAUUCCCACCACGUUUGUCUCUAACCCCAGUGGCAGAUCAGUGUAAGAACACAGCUGAGUGCUCCUCGCCUCCUUGCCCCUUCAAGGGCUCCUCACCACCCACCAGAUCAGGUGCAAACUUCCAAGCCUUACUGGAUCCCCUUCCACAUUCUGAGCUCCGCCUGCCUUCCCAUCGCUAUCCUUCCCCACCUGCCUCCCUGGUAGAGAAAAGCGGAGUGUGUGAUGCUGUCUGAAUGCUGAGCACGGCCUUUUGCAGCCAGUCCACUGUGUACGCUGCCCCUAUCGGAGACCUCCACCUUAAGCCUUUCCAGCCUGGAGGCUCCUCCCAGGGCCCCACAACAGAAGUGACUUCCCUUGCCUUUGAAUUUCUAUAGCACAAGCCCUACUGCCCCCCGUUAAAACUGCAAAGUCCUUUUGUGGAAAAUAACUUUAUUCAUGACUG